AUGGAGAUACCUUCAAUUCAGCCCCUUUUUGUCUAAAUUGAAGAUGGAUUCAUGCUAAAAUUCAUGCUUGUGCUUGAAUUCUUGAUCAUCUAGCCCUAUAAAUCACUUGAAUAGGAAUUUCAUUAGUAAGGACUCAAGCACGGAAGGCUAACGAGUCAAAUGGGGGUAAGAAGACGAGCAUGAACAUGGACGCUAAAGGUCACUCGAACCAUUGUUAUUAUCUAAGGAUAAACGGGUGGAGAUCGAGCUAAAGAGCUUGGACUGUAUGGAAAAAGGUUGUCACCUAUACAUAUUUGAAUGAUUUAAUCAUUAUGAUAAUUACCUAUGAUUGAUGUAAAUUCUUUUAAAGAAGUGGUUUUUAUGGUUACGAUUGUUUAAUUCAUUUGUGA